rnacentral:rRNA from 1 species
GACGAACGCUGGCGGCGUGCUUAAUACAUGCAAGUCGAGCGGGGUUACUGUUUUGGAUCCCUUCGGGGUGAAGAAGCUUUAACCUAGCGGCGGACGGGUGAGUAACGCGUGGGUAACCUACCCCAAAGUCCGGGAUAACAGCGGGAAACCGCUGCUAAUACCGGAUGUCUUUACCUUGGGGCAUCUUGAGGUAAAGAAAGGUAACGCUUUGGGAUGGGCCCGCGUCCCAUUAGCUAGUUGGUGAGGUAACGGCUCACCAAGGCGACGAUGGGUAGCCGGCCUGAGAGGGUGGACGGCCACACUGGGACUGAGACACGGCCCAGACUCCUACGGGAGGCAGCAGUAGGGAAUAUUGCGCAAUGGACGGAAGUCUGACGCAGCGACGCCGCGUGAGCGAUGAAGGUCUUCGGAUCGUAAAGCUCUGUCCUUGGGGAAGAAGGCGAAAGCUUGACGGUACCCAAGAAGAAAGCCCCGGCUAACUACGUGCCGGCCGCCGCGGUAAAACCCUGUACAGU